rnacentral:rRNA from 1 species
UGCGAACUACUAGCACGAGCUUUAAACCCAAAGGACUUGGCGGUGCCUUAGACCCACCUAGAGGAGCCUGUUCUAAAACUGAUAACCCCCGUUUAACCUCACCCCUUUUUGCCAUCACCGCCUAUAUACCGCCGUCGUCAGCUCACCCUGUGAAGGGUGAUUAGUGAGCAGGACUGGUACAGCCUAAAACGUCAGGUCGAGGUGUAGUGUAUGAAGGGGGAAGCAAUGGGCUACAUUCGUUAAACAACGAACACGAACGACUGGUUGAAACACCACUCCAAAGGAGGAUUUAGCAGUAAGAUGGAAAUAGAGAGUCC